GAUGAAUUCGAAGACUCAAGUCACAAUAACUAUGUCGACCAUGAUCCAUUGGACUAUGUCUACUCAAACCUCCUAGACCACACACACAUCCUGAAGCAUGCUGCAAAUUGCGAUCACUUCAAGGCCAAGAAGUUUGUGUUCGGGGUCCCGGGAUUCUGCUAUUGCGGUGGGAAAAUCUAGCUGAAGCAACCAGAGCCCAUCCUGGAGCUAAUGAGGCUUUGGUCUGGCAUGGAUGCGAACUCAAGGCAUUUUCGGGAGAACAUACAGUUCUUCAACGGCCACUUCUCCUUCACAACCCUUGGUGCCAACCUUGAUGAAAGCUACACAAACAUGAAGUCUGGGGCGUACACGUUCCGGGUGCACGGCACCAUCUACCACAACGUUCAUUCCUUCAGGCCAACAUCACGUCUAGAUCAUCUACAGUUGUACUUCUAUGACGAUGACCCAGGCCUAACCCAUCGCAAGGCUACCACCGAGCAAUUAGACUAG
rnacentral:rRNA from 1 species